GCAGCUUUUUUUCAAAGCACAGCAAUACCAAACCAGCCCUAUGUCGAGGUCCUUAUGACUAGUAAGUGAAUAGAUACAUCUUUAACUACUGAAGCAAGACAGUUGACUUUGACUGUAUCCCAACUCAAUCAAACAUGGUUAAUGGCAGAAACAACAUGCUAGUGCGGGUUUUCAACCAUAAACCCUAGAGGGAGAAUCUCAAAGUUUAUUUGAUAAUAUGAAUAAGAAGGUUUAAAUACUUCCAAACCUCCAAAAGGAAAAUAAAAUUAGAAAUAAAACUCUGAAAAAUCCCCAAACUGUGAGAAUUUCUUGAAAUCAUGCAGUCAAAUCUUCUGGCAUUCGAACUAAAAAGUACAUAAGUUUUUUUUAGGGUGGAAUAAAGUUCAUAAUUGGAGAUCGUAUAAUGUUCGUAUGACGAACAUAUUUCUCGAAGUUGAUACAUCUUAAUUUUACACUAGCUUGUCGAGUCGUUUUUUAAAUUUGCUUACUAAUUAUCUUACAUAAGUUAUCACAUGUUUUAAUUUUUCUUAC
rnacentral:lncRNA from 1 species